GAUGAACGCUAGCGGGAGGCUUAAUACAUGCAAGUCGAGCGGCAAGGUCUUCGGACCCUAGAGCGGCGCACGGGUGAGUAACGCGUACGCAAUCUGCCCUUCAGUGAGGAAUAGCCCUGGGAAACUGGGAUUAAUACCUCAUAAUAUUAGAGUAUCGCAUGGUACUUUAAUUAAAGUUCUGGCGCUGAAGGAUGAGCGUGCGUCUGAUUAGCUAGUUGGUAGGGUAACGGCCUACCAAGGCUACGAUCAGUAGGGGGCGUGAGAGCGUGACCCCCCACACGGGUACGUGAGACACGGAUCCGACUCCUACGGGAGGGCAGCAGUAAGGAAUAUUGGGCGAAUGGAGGCAACUCUGACCCACGCCAUCCCGCCGUGAAGGAUUAAGG
rnacentral:rRNA from 1 species